CUGNCAUAAUAGUNGUAAGCGACCCGUCUUGAGACACGGACCAAGGAGUCUAACAUNUAAGCGAGUGUUCGGGUGUCAAACCCGUGCGCGCAGUGAAAGCGAACGGAGGUGGGAACCCCUAGGGGUGCUCCAUCGACCGAUCCUGAUGUCUUCGGAUGGAUUUGAGUAAGAGCGUAGCUGUUGGGACCCGAAAGAUGGUGAACUAUGCCUGAAUAGGGCGAAGCCAGAGGAAACUCUGGUGGAUGCUCGCAGCGGUUCUAACGUGCAAAUCGAUCGUCAAAUUUGGGUAUAGGGGCGAAAGACUAAU
rnacentral:rRNA from 1 species